GUGUCCUGGCUGCGUAUAGCGUCAGGACGUAUAGAGCGCACUGUGACCUGACGAUGCAAACAGGUGACUGUGCAGCUCGGGCCCCGAGAAGAGAGCCGGGGAGACCGCCGGACCAGGAGAAAGGUGGUGGAGCAGGAGAGACUAUCUCAUCCCGACAAAUGCUCCCACAACACGGGCUGGAACCUAGGCAGCAGCGCAGGCACCCCGUUCGCUGAUCGGGAAAAUCAGCAAGGCUACACAUAGAUGUUGUGACUUCUUACAACAUAUUCUGGAGGACAAGGUCCAUAUGGAGUAAGAGGUUAAGGAGGCGGUGAAUGUGA